rnacentral:rRNA from 1 species
UGGGGAAUGAUUGCACAAUGGGCGCAAGCCUGAUGCAGCCAUGCCGCGUGUGUGAAGAAGGCCUCGGGUUGUAAAGCACUUUCAGCGAGGAGGAAGGUGGUGAACUUAAUACGUUCAUCAAUUGACGUUACUCGCAGAAGAAGCACCGGCUAACUCCGUGCCAGCAGCCGCGGUAAUACGGAGGGUGCAAGCGUUAAUCGGAAUUACUGGGCGUAAAGCGCACGCAGGCGGUUUGUUAAGUCAGAUGUGAAAUCCCCGGGCUCAACCUGGGAACUGCAUUUGAAACUGGCAAGCUAGAGUCUCGUAGAGGGGGGUAGAAUUCCAGGUGUAGCGGUGAAAUGCGUAGAGAUCUGGAGGAAUACCGGUGGCGAAGGCGGCCCCCUGGACGAAGACUGACGCUCAGGUGCGAAAGCGU